CUGCGAGGACGACCUCGCGACUCAUCGAGUGAUUUUUCUGGGGACGGCCCCA
rnacentral:ncRNA from 1 species